rnacentral:lncRNA from 1 species
UUUUAAGGCAGACAAGAUUUGAAUCUUGAAUGUGAAAAGGACAUGGAGAGUUCAAAACAAAACUUUCAGGCUCUCUUUAUUCAUCAUUGACACAAACCCAUUUUCCCCCCCAGGUUAGCUACAUUUCUGCAGAAAUUGAUAAUGCUAGAAAAGUGCUAAUGCUUUGUACUGCUAACUCCAGGCUUAUGCCCUUUGUGAUUUGACCACUCCUCCUUCCCCUUCCCUUUUGUUUACAGUGAGUUGUUGGAGACGGCUUGCAUUGCACUCGAAUAUCAACCACUGGGACUUGGGAGAGUGAACAACUGACUUCCCUCUUGCUGCCUGAAACAUGAAAAUUAGAACUAUUUUUAAUUAUGACUCACAGGAAGUUGCUGUUGUACUAGAAAAUGAUUCCACUUUGUCCCCACUCUCUCUACAUGUGACCACCCAAGCCAUAGAGGGAUCGUGGAAUGAGACUGACAAGAAGAAUUUCAUGACUUCUCAUGGCCAUGCUGGCUUGAUUACUGUAGUUGUCAUGGUGGUGGUGCUGCUGCUGCUAUUUGUGCUGUAUAAACAUAAGGUUAUCCCGUGUAGAAGAAAGAAGCCUGAGAUAUAAGCAAGUGAAGAUGAGUUGCUUUAGGAAGCUAUAAACAGUGGAAUGGAACUACAGAUGGCUUAGAGGGAGAACAAGUGUGCACUGUGAUGGUCAGGGUCUCUGCUAGCAGGGAAACAAGACCCACAUGGAGCCUCUUACCAGCAAUUACUAUUGGUGCUCUUCUGAUCUCUCCCACCUGAUUUGCACAUUUUGAGGACUUCUGUUUUGGAAAUUCCUAGUUCUGCUUGUGGUUUGGGAGAUAGCAGACCUGGAAUACACGUAGCCACUUUUCUAAUCCUACUUGCUGUUAACUGGCUUAGGUUGUGUUUUGUUUUUAAUUUAUUUUUGUAAGAGCUGUUCAAAGGCUUGCCUCAUUGCGUUCUAAGACCUGCCUGCCAUGUAGGCUUUGGUUUGCUUUCUGGUGUCUUCUGGGUUCACCUACCUGCCCAUUUCUAAUGCAUGUAUCACUGUAGUCUCUAGUGGCAGUUACAUUCCCCACCAUCAUGAAAUAUUUCUAGACUUAUUCUGAAAUACUGCAUCUCUGGAACGCCGUACUGUCUACUGCGUAUACAGGAAUCCAUUAUUUAUACAUUGCUUGCCUUUUUAGCCCUGCUCUCCCAAAACACUAGGUGCACAGCAUGAAAUACAAUCGGUCCAAAAGAGGUGUCAGUACAUUAUAAAGAUGCAUUAGUGGUUUUAAAAACCCACCAUCUGUUGCUAACCAAGAACCAUUCUUUAGCUAGCAGAAUCAUCCUGAUAAAAUAUGUCUUCCUCUUCUGAACAAAACUCAACAUUUUCUCAGGUAGCUUGAUCUUCAGAGAUGCACUUUUAAAUGUCUUAGAAAGAUCCUGAACAGCCAGCUAUAGUAGAAAGAGCCUGGGCCUGGUGCAAGGCCUGAGGCCUGAAUCAAAGUCAGCAAAAGUUAUGCUUAAAAGUUGUAGAUGCCAUGUUCUGAUCAUUUAUGAAGAUAUACGUCUGUUACAUAAUUACAAAUUAGUACCCGAGCCGAGCAUAUGAAGAU